UCCGCGUGUCGGGGGCGGAGACCAAAGCGACGGCGGCGCCGCUGUUACGUUUGGGGAAGUUGCUCAAUAUGGGAAAUGCACAAGUUGCAGAGUCUGCGGGCGACACGUCCGUUCUGCCUUCACGGGUCCUCGGCGGAUAAGCAAGACGCGUAACGGCGCUGUGAGAUGUGCGCCAAGUCAGCUUGAGUCCGCGUCUUUCCUUUCCGCCCCAAAAUGAAUAACUCGGUCACUUCCGCUUCUUACAUCCGCAACCUUAGUUACAGUUUACGUCGCAGGUUGUCCGACUUUUUGGACCCUCAAGACAGGUGGAUGGAAGUUCUCACCUCGAUACGGAAGCCGAGUGGGGAGCCGAGGUACUCUCAGCUGCACGUUAGGAGGUUUGAGGGCCUCGCCGCUCAGGGUAAAAGCCCCACGGUGGAGCUGCUGGUGGACUGGGGCACCACUAACAGCACAGUGGGGGAACUGGUCUGCAUCCUGAAGAGUUGCAAGUUGUUGGCUGCUGCUAGUCUGCUGCUCCCUGAGCAAGGGGCCGUCUCACAGGAGACACAGGAGACACAAAGGGCGUCUCCAGCUGUGGACACAAAGAGCAGGCUCCCCACCAGACUACUGGAGGAGACGAAGACGAGGGCCCCACCUGAAGUCUCCGUUCUGCCAUCACACAUUCCUCAGGAGCUCAGCGGGCCGAGCCGCGCAGGCUUCUCCAGUUUCUUGUACAAUGAGCUGAUGGAGAUCACUGGCAACUUCGACGACCGUCCCAUAUCAGACGGCGGCAGCCGGCUGGGGGAGGGAGGUUUUGGCACCGUGUACAAAGGGCUCCUUCAUGACCGACCCGUUGCAGUGAAAAAGCUCAAUCCAAUGGACGACAUCUCCCUGGACGAGCUGCAAGUGCAGUUCAACCAAGAGAUCCAGGCGCUGAGAGUGUUGAAACAUGAAAACUUGGUUGACAUGGUUGGGUUUUCCUGCGAUGGACAGCACCCAUGCUUGGUGUACGCCCUUAUGGUCAACGGCUCUCUGCUGGACCGACUGGCUUGCCUGGAAGGAAGUCCCCCGCUGUCCUGGCGACAGAGAUCGCUGAUUGCUGAAGGGACAGCGAGAGGCCUGGAGUAUCUGCACGGCAACCAUCAUGUUCACAGGGAUGUUAAAAGCGCGAACAUCUUGUUAGAUGAAAACCUUGUGGCGAAGAUCUCCGACUUCGGGCUGACGAGAGCGUCGGCCAAGCGGACGUCGACCACCAUGAUGACGGAGAGGAUUGUGGGUACCCGUGCAUACAUGGCCCCCGAGGCGCUCCGAGGAGAGAUCACCCCAAGGUCGGACGUCUUCAGCUUCGGAGUGGUAGGCUUUCCACUGACGCGCGCACAAACGCACGCACGGACACUCAGGGGGCCGGUUUUGUGUCAGGAAAAGCAGAAACUGCAACCGGCAUGGAAAUCCGAGACCACGCGGUCUACUCAGCUGCACUGUAGUAUUUGCUGUACAUAUCGAAUAUGUUAUUCAUUUAAUGAAACCGCCUGAAGCAUUUCUGGGCUCAGCAGCGUAUGAAGGUGCCUGACCUUCCAGAUCCUGCAGUAUAUCCAGCUUGUGUGUCUUACUGGGGCAGCUGUGGAAACACUACGGUGCCUGUGGGGAGGUAACAAAGGUUUCCUGUUGUCCGGAGCCGUGACAUUGACCCAGCCUCUCCGCCGUCCACAGGUGUUGUUAGAAAUAUUGUCUGGACAGCGGCCAGCCGAUGAAGAGCGGGAGCCGCAGUUCUUGAUGGAAAUGAGGCACGAUAUAGACGAUGAAGACGAGGAGCUGACUUUUGAGGACUUCCUGGACAAAAAGAUGAGCGACU